AUGAAAAUCUUGAGCUAGAAUUGUUAUCGAGGAUUGGGUCAACCUUGUACAUUUCAAGAGCUUGUGUGUCUCUCUAAGACGCACCAACCCAAUGUUAUCUUUCUUUCUAAGACGAGAAAAAGUAAAUAAUAUGUUGAAUAUCUAUGUUUUCGGUUGGGUAUGAAAAAUAUUUUUACCGUUUCAGUUGAAGGAAAAGGUGGUGGGCUUACCGUGUUCUGGGAUGAUACUUACACUCUGGAGCCGAACAAAUUUGGUGAGCACUUCAUUGAUAUGUAUACCUGUUCUGCUAAUGGCACAAAGUGGAGGAGUACCUCCGUAUAUGGGGAGGCUAAGGCAAGUCAAAGGUAUGUCAUGUGGGAUCUUUUGUGA
rnacentral:rRNA from 1 species